rnacentral:rRNA from 1 species
AUUGAACGCUGGCGGCAUGCCUUACACAUGCAAGUCGAACGGUAACAGGUCUUCGGAUGCUGACGAGUGGCGAACGGGUGAGUAAUACAUCGGAACGUGCCCAGUAAUGGGGGAUAGCUCGGCGAAAGCCGGAUUAAUACCGCAUACGCCCUGAGGGGGAAAGUGGGGGACCGCAAGGCCUCACGUUAUUGGAGCGGCCGAUGGCUGAUUAGCUAGUUGGUGAGGUAAAGGCUCACCAAGGCGACGAUUAGUAGCUGGUCUGAGAGGACGACCAGCCACACUGGGACUGAGACACGGCCCAGACUCCUACGGGAGGCAGCAGUGGGGAAUUUUGGACAAUGGGCGAAAGCCUGAUCCAGCAAUGCCGCGUGUGCGAAGAAGGCCUUCGGGUUGUAAAGCACUUUUGUUUGGGAAGAAAAUGUUCGUGUUAAUACCAUGAGCAGAUGACGGUACCAAAAGAAUAAGCACCGGCUAACUACGUGCCAGCAGCCGCGGUAA